AGAGCGAACGCUGGCGGCAGGCUUAACACAUGCAAGUCGAGCGGGCGUAGCAAUACGUCAGCGGCAGACGGGUGAGUAACGCGUGGGAACGUACCUUUUGGUUCGGAACAACCCAGGGAAACUUGGGCUAAUACCGGAUAAGCCCUUACGGGGAAAGAUUUAUCGCCGAAAGAUCGGCCCGCGUCUGAUUAGCUAGUUGGUGAGGUAAUGGCUCACCAAGGCGACGAUCAGUAGCUGGUCUGAGAGGAUGAUCAGCCACAUUGGGACUGAGACACGGCCCAAACUCCUACGGGAGGCAGCAGUGGGGAAUAUUGGACAAUGGGCGCAAGCCUGAUCCAGCCAUGCCGCGUGAGUGAUGAAGGCCCUAGGGUUGUAAAGCUCUUUUGUGCGGGAAGAUAAUGACGGUACCGCAAGAAUAAGCCCGGCUAACUUCGCGCCAGCAGCCGAC
rnacentral:rRNA from 1 species